rnacentral:rRNA from 1 species
AGGUCAAGCGAAGAAGAGCGCAGGGUGGAUGCCUUGGCACUAAGAGCCGAUGAAAGACGUGAUAAGCUGCGAAAAGUCACGGGGAGGAGCAAAUAUCCUUUGAUCCGUGAAUAUCUGAAUGGGGAAACCCACAUGAGAAUACCUCAUGUAUCCAUACGCCAAUCCAUAACGUAUGGAAGGGAACCCGGUGAACUGAAACAUCUAAGUAGCCGGAGGAAGAGAAAGAAAAAUCGAUUUCCAAAGUAGCGGCGAGCGAAAUGGAAAGAGCCCAAACCGGAGUGCGUGCAUUCCGGGGUUCGGACCGCAUAAUUGAUUCAGCAAUUCCAGCAGAACUGUUUUGGGAAAGCAGACCAGAGAGGGUGAAAGUCCCGUAAGCGAAAGAAGAGCUGACAUGGCGGUAUCCAGAGUACAUCGAGACACGAGAAACCUUGAUGGAAUAAGCGGGGACCACCCCGUAAGGCUAAAUACUACUUAGUGACCGAUAGCGCAUAGUACUGUGAAGGAAAGGUGAAAAGGACCCCGGGAGGGGAGUGAAAGAGAACCUGAAACCCUGUGUUUACAAGCUGUGGAAGCACUUUAUAUGUGCGACCGCGUACUUUUUGUAGAACGGUCCGGCGAGUUACGCUUACUGGCGAGGUUAAGGACUUAAGGUCCGGAGCCGAAGGGAAACCAAGUCUUAACAGGGCGAGUUUAGUCAGUAGGAGUAGACCCGAAACCGGGUGAUCUAUCCAUGUCCAGGUUGAAGAUGCCGUAAAAGGCGUUGGAGGACCGAACCCACAUCCGUUGAAAAGGGUGGGGAUGAGGUGUGGAUAGGGGAGAAAUUCCAAUCGAACCCGGAGAUAGCUGGUUCUCCUCGAAAUAGCUUUAGGGCUAGCCUCGUUUUAGUCUUGUGGAGGUAGAGCACUGAAUUUCCGCGGGGGCGUCAAAGCUUACCAAAGAAUAUCAAACUCCGAAUGCCAUUAAGAUGAUGAACGGGAGUCAGACUGUACGAGAUAAGUUGGACAGUCAAAAGGGAAAGAGCCCAGACCACCAGCUAAGGUCCCAAAGUGUGUGUUAAGUGGAAAAGGAUGUGGGGAUUCAAAGACAACUAGGAUGUUGGCUCAGAAGCAGCCAUUCAUUCAAAGAGUGCGUAACAGCUCACUAGUCGAGAGUCCCUGCGCCGAAAAUGUCCGGGGCUGAAACACAACACCGAAGCUGUGGAAUUAUACCUAGUAUGAUUGGUAGAGGAGCAUUCUUAAGACCGACGAAGCUGUACCGAUAAGGAGCAGUGGAGGGAUAAGAAGAGAGAAUGCCGGAAUGAGUAGCGAGAGGAAGGUGAGAAUCCUUCCGGCCGNNNNNNNNNNAGAAUCCUUCCGGCCGAAUAUCCAAGGAUUCCAGGGUAAAGCUGAUCUGCCCUGGGUAAGUCGGGACCUAAGGAGAGGCCGAGAGGCGUAUCCGAUGGACAACAGGUUUAGAUUCCUGUACCACAUAUGGUCAGAACUGUGGGGACGCAGAAGGAAAGCAUGAGCCAGGAAUGGAAAGACUGGUACAAGCAGAGGGGAUGGUGUGCUGGCAAAUCCGCACACGAAAAUCCUUGCUGUGAUGUGGAGCGAACUAGAGUAGCGAAGCAUGCGGACCGGCUGCCGAGAAAAGCCGCUAUUGUGCCAUAUGUGCCCGUACCGUAAACCGACACAGGUGGAUGAGGAGAGAAUCCUAAGGCCGACGGAAGAAGUAUUGUUAAGGAACUCGGCAAAAUGACCCCGUAACUUCGGGAGAAGGGGUGCCUGAGAAAUCAGGCCGCAGAGAAUAGGCUCAAGCAACUGUUUAGCAAAAACACAGGUCUAUGCAAAACCGAAAGGUGAAGUAUAUGGGCUGACGCCUGCCCGGUGCUGGAAGGUUAAGAGGAGAGGUUAGCGCAAGCGAAGCUUUGAAUUUAAGCCCCAGUAAACGGCGGCCGUAACUAUAACGGUCCUAAGGUAGCGAAAUUCCUUGUCGGGUAAGUUCCGACCCGCACGAAAGGCGUAAUGAUUUGAGCACUGUCUCGACAAUACAUCCGGUGAAAUUGAAGUACCAGUGAAGAUGCUGGUUACCCGCGCCAGGACGGAAAGACCCCAUGGAGCUUUACUCCAGUUUGGUACUGGGAUUCGGUACUGCAUGUACAGGAUAGGUGGGAGACGAAGAAGUUAGGACGCCAGUCUUAACAGAGUCGCUGUUGGGAUACCACCCUUGCAGUAUUGGGUUUCUAACCAGCCGCUGUGAACCAGCGGUGGGACAAUGCCAGGCGGGGAGUUUGACUGGGGCGGUCGCCUCCGAAAGGGUAUCGGAGGCGCUCAAAGGUUCCCUCAGAAUGGUCGGAAACCAUUUAAAGAGUGCAAAGGCAGAAGGGAGCUUGACUGCGACACCGACGGGUGGAGCAGGUACGAAAGUAGGACUUAGUGAUCCGGUGGCAUAAAGUGGGAUUGCCAUCGCUCAACGGAUAAAAGCUACCCUGGGGAUAACAGGCUUAUCACUCCCAAGAGUUCACAUCGACGGAGUGGUUUGGCACCUCGAUGUCGGCUCAUCGCAUCCUGGGGCUGUAGCAGGUCCCAAGGGUUGGGCUGUUCGCCCAUUAAAGCGGUACGCGAGCUGGGUUCAGAACGUCGUGAGACAGUUCGGUCCCUAUCCGGCGCGGGCGUAGGAUAUCUGAGGGGAGCUGGCCUUAGUACGAGAGGACCGGGCUGGACGGACCACUGGUGCAUCAGCUGGAUACCAAAUCCAUAGCUGGGUAGCCAAGUCCGGAAGGGAUAAACGCUGAAGGCAUCUAAGCGUGAAGCCCCCCCCAAGAUGAGAUGUCCCUGUCUAUAAGACAGUAAGACCCCUGAAAGAGUAUCAGGUAGAUAGGGCAGAGGUGGAAGCACGGUAACGUGUGGAGCUGACUGUUACUAAUCGGUCGAGGGCUUGACCAAA